CUUGAAUACAUGUAGGGUUUUUUUCCUAUGACAUAUUCUGAAUCUGUACUCCUCAGCCUCUCUCUCUCUCUCUCUCUCUCUCUCUCUCUCCCUCCCUCCCUACCCUCUCUCUCUCUCUCUCUCUCUCUCUCUCUCUCUCUCUCUCUCCUCCGGAGCUUAUCUCGGUGCGCAUCGUCAGCAUCAGUUUGAAGUCAAAUCUGUCAGCUGCUGCUUUGCCCGCUUCCCUUUUUUUUUUUCCUCGUCUCUUUCGCUCUCCGCUGGCGAUCCCGCCUCGUUUAACAGUUCAGUCGGGACUGUGGGAGCGCGUCCGGUCGCUGCCUUCAACUUGGGCUGAAGAAAGAAAGAGGAAACUCCUCGGGAUUCUCCGUACACCGAGCUCUGAUCCGGAUUUUCUGUUUGACGUGCUGAAGUGCUUCUUAAGGAGAAUUCUGGGGUGA
rnacentral:lncRNA from 1 species